rnacentral:rRNA from 1 species
CCUACGGGUGGCUGCAGUGGGGGAUAUUGCACAAUGGGGGGAACCCUGAUGCAGCGACGCCGCGUGGGUGAAGAAGCACCUCGGCGCGUAAAGCCCUGUCAGCAGGGAAGAAAAUGACGGUACCUGAAGCAGAAGCCCCGGCUAACUCCGUGCCAGAAGCAGCGGUAAUACGGAGGGUGCAAGCGUUAUCCGGAUUUUCUGGGUGUAAAGGGGGCGCAGACGGCGAUGCAAGCCAGGGGUGAAAGCCCGGGGCCAAACCCCGGGACUGCUCUUGGAACUGCGUGGCUGGAGUGCAGGAGGGGCAGGCGGAAUGCGUGGUGUAGCGGUGAAAUGCGUAGAUAUCAGGAGGAACACCGGUGGCGAAGGCGGCCUGCUGGACUGCAACUGACGUUGAGGCCCGAAAGCGUGGGUAGCAAACAGGAUUAGAUACCCGAGUAGUC